GUCGAGCGAACUGAUUGGAAGCUUGCUUCUAUGACGUUAGCGGCGGACGGGUGAGUAACUCGUGGGCAACCUGCCUGUAAGACUGGGAUAACUUCGGGAAACCGAAGCUAAUACCGGAUAGGAUCUUCUCCUUCAUGGGAGAUGAUUGAAAGAUGGUUUCGGCUAUCACUUACAGAUGGGCCCGCGGUGCAUUAGCUAGUUGGUGAGGUAACGGCUCACCAAGGCAACGAUGCAUAGCCGACCUGAGAGGGUGAUCGGCCACACUGGGACUGAGACACGGCCCACACUCCUACGGGAGGCAGCAGUAGGGAAUCUUCCGCAAUGGACGAAAGUCUGACGGAGCAACGCCGCGUGAGUGAUGAAGGCUUUCGGGUCGUAAAACUCUGUUGUUAGGGAAGAACAAGUACGAGAGUAACUGCUCGUACCUUGACGGUACCUAACCAAAAGGCCACGGCUAACUACGUGCCAGCAGCCGCGGUAAUACGUAAGUGGCAAGCGUUAUCCGGAAUUAUUGGGCGUAAAAGCGCGCG
rnacentral:rRNA from 2 species